rnacentral:rRNA from 1 species
CGAGGACGACGCUGGCGGCGUGCCUAACACAUGCAAGUCGAACGAGGUCCAUCCUUCGGGAGAAGACCUAGUGGCGAACGGGUGAGUAACACGUGAGGAACCUGCCCCGAAGACCGGGAUAACCCUCCGAAAGGAGAGCUAAUACCGGAUACCCCCACCGAGCCGCAUGGUUUGGUGAGGAAAUGGAUUCCGCUUCGGGAGGGCCUCGCGGCCUAUCAGCUAGUUGGUGGGGUAACGGCCCACCAAGGCAUCGACGGGUAGCUGGUCUGAGAGGACGAUCAGCCACACUGGGAUUGAGACACGGCCCAGACUCCUACGGGAGGCAGCAGUGGGGAAUCUUGCGCAAUGGGCGAAAGCCUGACGCAGCAACGCCGCGUGGGGAUGAAGGCUCUCGGGUUGUAAACCCCUUUCAGCAGGGACGAAUCAAGACGGUACCUGCAGAAGAAGCCCCGGCUAACUACGUG